rnacentral:rRNA from 1 species
CACGUAGGGUGCGAGCGUUGUCCGGAAUUAUUGGGCGUAAAGAGCUCGUAGGCGGUGUGUCGCGUCGGCCGUGAAAACCUGCAGCUUAACUGUGGGCUUGCGGUCGAUACGGGCAUCACUGGAGUUCGGCAGGGGAGACUGGAAUUCCUGGUGUAGCGGUGAAAUGCGCAAAUAUCAGGAGGAACACCGGUGGCGAAGGCGGUUCUCUGGGCCUUACCUGACGCUGAGGAGCGAAAGCGUGGGGAGCGAACAGG